AUACUAUUACCACCAUCCCAAAUUACUUGUCUUAGGUUUGUCUAGAUAUGGAUGUAUCUAACACUAAAACUUGUUUAGAUACAUCUCUAUCUAGACAAAUCGUAGACAAAUAAUUCGGGACGGAGGGAGUACCAU
rfam:Triticum aestivum genome assembly, contig: Triticum_aestivum_CS42_TGACv1_scaffold_158500_2DL